GUGUGUGCAGAACAGAAGCUGACCCUGGUGGGCCACCGCCAGCCAUGUGUGCAAGCCUUCAGCCGCAUAGUGCCUGUGUGGAGGUCAGGCUGCGGGCAGCAGGCAUGGUGUGUUGGCCAAGAGCGCAGGACUGUGUACUAUAUGAGCUACAGACAGGUAUAUGCCACAGAGGCCCGCACUGUGUUCAGGUGCUGUCCCGGCUGGAGCCAGAAGCCUGGCCAGGAAGGCUGCCUCUUAGAUGUGGAUGAAUGUGCCAAUGCCAACGGGGGAUGUGAGGGCCCGUGUUGCAACACCGUGGGUGGCUUUUACUGUCGCUGCCCACCCG